GUCGUGCUGGCAGACAUGGCGUAUGCAUUCGACUGCAAAUCGAAAGAAAGAGGUUCGAGUCCUCUGCACGACU
rnacentral:tRNA from 1 species